GCCUAACCGUAAACUUUAAUUUACACAUGUAUCGCCAGGGAACUACGAGCUAAGCUUAAAACCCAAAGGACUUGACGGUACCCCAAAUCCACCUAGAGGAGCCUGUCCUAUAAUCGAUAACCCCCGUUUAACCUCACCACCUCUAGCUCCUCAGCCUGUAUACCUCCGUCGUCAGCUUACCACGUGAGCGAACAUUAGUGAGCUUAAUGCCAAUACGCCAACACGUCAGGUCAAGGUGCAGCAUAUGAGGCGGGAAGAGAUGGGCUACACUUUCUAACCUAGAAAAUACAAAAGACUACUUAUGAAACCUAGUCUGAAGGCGGAUUUAGAAGUAAAAAGAAACAAGAAUGUUCUCUUUAACUAGGCACUGGGGUGUGUACACACCGCCCGUCACCCUCCUCAAAGCUAAUAAAAAGUUCUUAACUAACUUAUGCUAUGUAGAAGAGGCAAGUCGUAACAUGGUAAGUAUACCGGAAGGUGUGCUUGGAAA
rnacentral:rRNA from 1 species